GUGCACCAGUCGCGAAACCUCCGCAAUGCACGCAAGUGCGACGGGGGAACCCCAAGUGCCACUCUUAACGGGGUGGCUUUUCAGAAGUGUAAAAAGCUUCUGGAAUAAGGGCUGGGCAAGACCGGUGCCAGCCGCCGCGGUAACACCGGCAGCUCAAGUGGUAGCCGCUUUUAUUGGGCCUAAAGCGUCCGUAGCCGGUCUGAUAAGUCUCUGGUGAAAUCCCACAGCUUAACUGUGGGAAUUGCUGGAGAUACUAUCAUGACUCGAGGUCGGGAGAGGCUGGAGGUACCCCCAGGGUAGGGGUGAAAUCCUGUAAUCCUGGGAGGACCACCUGUGGCGAGGCGUCCAGCUGGAACGAACCUGACGGUGAGGGACGAAAGCCAGGGGCGCGAACCGGAUUAGAUACCCCCGUAGUCC
rnacentral:rRNA from 1 species